UAACACUGGACAUCAGACACAGCCAGCAAAUCGCCUUUGCCAAGGUUAAACACAUCACCGACGGGUCUUGAGAUGUCACUCAUCAAACACGACUUAUAGAAUCACCAGGUUGGAAAAGACCUCUUGGAUCAUCCAACCAUUCCUACCCGCCACCAAACCACGCUCCCGAGCUCCGACACAGCGUGUUUUUCCCCUGAUUCCUAACGCUUAUUUCCUUUCCUCCGCGCGUUAAAAAACAGCUGAAAAAAAUAAAAGUUUCGAUUUUGCUUUCAGUUGGUUUCACUUUCCGGCCGCCUGGAAGCCACUAAAAAGUUUCUGUUUGGGUUAAAACUGAUCAACGCUCAGGAGAGGGGGUACGGGCAGGAACGAACGGAACUUCCCAGAAGGACCCAUGGAGAGAGAAAUUCCUUGCAGUAUCAUACCAGAUAUACGUUCAAGUGCUAGCAAUGAGCAUUUAUGAAAAUGAUAUUAUAGCUAAACACAGCAGAGGAGAGAUGAAGAGAUAAGUCCAUCAGGGGAAUAUUUUGUGGAGUGCCCUCUUAAGAUAGUCACUUGAAUGGAUAGCAACACCCCUCUUCUAUGGCUGUGUUUUCUUCAGUCAAACAAAGCUACUGUCUCCAGAGAACUGUGAAGAACUGAUGUUACAACAGUCAUUAUUUCAUAUUUGCAUUAAGUUGGAUUUAGUCAGCAAAAUAAGAAGUAAUGUAGCACUGGGAUCAGAAUUGGGCCACUCACACUAAUUCACUAAUUUUAAAAUUGGUGCCGCUUGAUCCAGUUCUCCAACUCUCUCCAUCCUUGCAGGUAAUGGAAAAAACCUCCAAUUCUAAAGUUAAAAUAACGUGGCUUAAGUUGGAGGGUUCAGCAAGUCUACAGGCAGCACCUCACUCCACAGUGAGUGACCUGCCUUUGCACCUGUAGUACCUAUGCCAGAACAGAAAAUGAUUACUACUCUCAGUAGUGGAACCAAUUUGCUGUUGUCACAUGGAGCAUCCCGAGCCUGUAAAGGCAGUGGUUGCCAAAUGCUAAUCAUCAGACUCACAGUCAAACAUUAUAAAGUCUUAUGGAUCACCAACAGGCAGGUUUAUCAUCCAGACUUCAUCUGAAAACGCUACUGGGAACAUUUACCACAGUUUCACAGACCGUGGAGAUAGCAAAUAUGGACCGAGAGCCAUGAGGUCGGCAGCACCACUCUCUUCUACCAGACAAGUACCAUAGAUUCUGAGGUGCUUUUCUGGAAAUCUACCUAAGUGAGUGGCUACAAAAAAAACAUUCAAGAUCUGAUUUAUUUGGAAAGGAUGGCUUGAGCCACUCCCUCAGAGCACUGGAAGAAGAAGAGUGCUGUAUUUGGGUUAUCCUGCAGGGAAACAAGAGACACAGGUGUCUUCAUCUUCUGUCUGGGGAAAACUUACCUCAAGACACUGUUACUGUGUUUUAAGGAGGGACAACUGUGUGGUUUGCUCAGGAGUCUUUGUGAAGGCUUUAAAUAAUAUUGAUUAUUAACUAAAGGUGGCCACCAGGAAAACGGUGAGCAGCAGCUUCUAAAAGGAGGAAACAGCAAGAGAUACUAUUAGGUUGUCUGGCAAGACCUCUGUAGGUAGAAAGAGAGAAAUAAAGUUGGAGUAGAGAUGCAGAGGAGUUACUUGAAGGGGAAGGAUCUCUGGGACGUCCUAGCAACUUUACUCACAACUUGAAAGCAUUUUAGGGGAAAAGAAUAAUGCCACAUAGCCAAUACCAACAGAUGAGACAAGGUACAGGUGUUUCUCUGCACCCUUUUCUCUAAAGGAGGGAAGAGAAAAAAGCUUCAAACUCUUGGGCAAUUAUUCAGGGUCACAGUAAAUGGCAGAGAAAAAAUGACUGGAAAGCAAUAAUGGAGAAACAGCCUGGAGUAUGGAGUGAUGGAGAAGCCCAGUGAAAGAAAAAGCAGGUUUAGAGCACAAAAGGAGACAGAAGACACAGGUGAGAAAACAUGAGAGGAUGGAGAAGGCAGGAAAAGGAGCUUAAGAGUUGGUUAUUUGUUUUCAAAGAGAAAGAAGAGAAGAAAGAAUGAGAGCUGAAAUGGUAGCAGUGAAGAAAGAGGCUAAAAUGCGGAAGAAAAAGGAAUCUUGCAAGAAAAGGAAGGGUUAAAGAAAUGCUCUUGAAGAUCAAAGAAAAAUGGGAGAGGGAAAAAGAAAGUUGCAGAAGGAAGAGUUAAUAAGUAAAAGAGGGUAAAGAAGAAUAGGAGAAAAAAGUAAAGGGAAAUAAGUUUUUAUGCUCUAGAAAGCUUGAUUCUGACCUAUUUUUAUGUAUGAUAUCUUUAAUAUUUACUGGACAGAUAGUACUAGGAAAACAUUGGAGGGAUUGGGGAAAGCAAUCUGCCUGACCCUAGAAGACAGUUGUUCUUGGCAAUGGGAAAGGGAGAUGGUGGCUCUAAAUUGGCACUCUAAAUUGGCAAAUAAGCCUCUCUGACCUAUGCAAAAUUCUGUAGAGCCUUUUUUUCUAGGCCCUUUCUGCGCAUACAGAGGCCAAGUUUCAGUUUUUAAGGAACAAAACCAUUCUUAAACUCCACCUAGAAACCUGGUGAAGUCAAAUCACUGCCUGGGCUAUACAUCCUUACUUACAGAAGUGAUAUGAAGUUGGUAGGCUUACCCAGAUGGCUUGUACUGGCCACAGAAAAGGAAAAAGAAGGGGGAAAUGAUAGAAGAGUAGAAUAAUUUAAAUGGAGAAGGAUCUCUGCACACCUCCAAACCACAACCGCUUCUCCACCCACAAACACAAUGGUGAUGCUCUGCUGGACUCACUCCAUUAUAUCAGUUUCUUUCUUUGGCUGUGGAGGCUGAAAUUGCAACUGCAAAGGCUUUUGGGCUUAUGUGCAUAAGAUCAAAAAAAACCCUGAAGGUUGUGCAGACAGUACAAAUGCUUAAAAAUCUCCAUAGCUACAUUGUUAUCAAACUUUCAAAAUCUAGGCAUUUCCAUUUUAGCAUAACUGUGUUCAGUGUUGUAACUCUGAUCCAAGAAAAACACUCUUCUAAUAGUCUAAAAGCAUGCAGUUUAAAAUGAUGCCCACUUAAGAAGUCAUUUCAGUCAUUUGAUGUUUAACUGCUUCCUUUUUCCCAGGUUCAAGAGGGCUGUUUGGAGGGAAAGGAAGUUUUGCCUUAUCACAUGGCUGGUAUUGUGGCGAUUGAAAAUAGCAAGGUACAACAGCCAAAUUUAGCAUUAGCUUGUAUUAAAAGACUCUGCUGAUUAUCUACAUUUUUACUAAGAAAUAAUACAGUUUAAUGUCAUCUCUUUAUGAUUCAGCCACUUCUGAUCAAACCAAACCCUCUUACUUGAGGCAAAAGAAAGGUCUAUUAAACACAGACACCAGAUGGCUCAGGAUAUUUCUCUUUUCUGAGGGUAAUGUUAAGGCGUGGAGAUAAAACUUGGUUCAGAGGCUGCCCUGAGGCCAUUGGGGUUAUAUUUUUUUUUAAAAAGCAGCCAAUGACCCUCUUCAGAAUGAAAAAGCUCGAUUCACUGACUCAUCUUUCCAAUAACAGUCACAUCAUCGUUUUAAAAACAAGCAAACCCAGUGACCAAACCCAAAAAAUUUCCUUGAAUGGAGUGUCAGUGAGAGGCUGAGCUCUGAUUUUACCUACUAGCUCUGUAGUGACAGUCAAAUGUGCCUGGUGGGACAUAUAGGAAGGUGGGUAUUGUACGUGAAGUAAAGUAGAACUAAGCACUACCUUAUGGAAUGAGUAACCACAUAUCUUUAAGCAAACGUUGCUCUUAACACAGGGAACUUUUGCACUGUGUUACCUAAUGCAUACCAUUUGCAUUCCAAAUAGCCAUUACAUAAAUGUUUGUCAUCCUUGCUUGUUUUGCUAUGAGCUGUGUAAGCUCUUUAGGGCUGUGCCUUGUGAUACGGACACUGGACUCAUUUAGUCAUGUUCAGUUCCACUUCCGUAUGACAUCCCCCGUGACUUUUGACCAUUACUGAAGUUUCUCUGUACUUCAGCUCACAACUUAUAAAGAGGGAUAGGACGGUAGGAGCCAGAGCUCUUGCUGGCCAAAGAAAAAGCCAUUAACCCUUAUGAGGAUGUUGCAUACACGGGUAAUGAGACUCUAUCCGAAGGAUUUAGGACCAUUAGCUUAAAGAGCUGAUAUAUUGUGUCAGGCCAGACACAGCCGUCUGACUGGAAAUGUCCCUUUCCACCAAGCAGUGAGAAAAGGGGUCUUCAAUUUCUCGCUAUGAAAAUAAUUCCAUGCAUUUAUAAGGCUGUCUCUCUAAAAGUUGUAGAAAUUGCCACUUUCUUUGUCUUCGGUUCAGUUUAACACAUUUCUAAACACUAUAAAAUGCUCACGAUAGAGAUAUUGCAAGGUAGAUGCAGGGGAAGAUAGGUAUGAGGUUGCAUAGUACAGUGUGCCUAAGACAUCCUAUUUAACCAAAGAAAAAGAUCAGAUUUACUACAGGGAGAUCAGUAGAUGAGCUGCUGAGAUGUACAACUAAGGAUGAGCUGCUACAUCACAAGAAAGACUGAAGGCUAUAAUCUGGUCAUGUUAAUAUGAUUUGCUCUUGGCCUUGAAGAAACAGAAUAAUAACCUGUCUUACAGAAAGGAUGUUGUGAAGAUACACUGUUUUAUAGCCACAUUCACUAAUGCAUAUAAAAGAUAAGGUGGUAUCUCACACCAUCAGUGUAGCAGAAAUCAAUGAGCUCACAUUUCUUCACUGUGAUAUCUGCUAGCACCAAAACACAGGACACAAAUUGUUACCUCUUUCUUCUUAGUUGACAUCAGUGUGGCUUUUUUCCCAGCUGUGUUCCUUGAGGAGCAGAGCAAUGAGGGUAUUGAGGUCUUUGUCAUCAUUUUUCUUUUCUUACAGAUUUUUCUUUGAAUUUGGAGUUCACAAAGUGAGGGACAAGAAACACUGUGGAGAGAGUGAAGGCAUUACUUUUUCAGUCUCAGGGUCUUUCUCAAGAUAUUUUAAGAUCAAGAUAUUUUCAGUACAUGGCAAAAAUAAUUGGAGAUGACGUUUCUCCCUUUUAGAAAUUUCCAAUAGAGGCUGGCUAUCUCUAUAGCGCUUACUUUAGAACUGAGCCAGUUCCACACAGAAGGCAAAUUAAACGAAAAUUUGUCUCUUUCCUCAGUUAUUUUCUAGGCUUCAAGAGAGCUUGUUUGGAACAUAAUGAUUUCUCAGACAGCAUGAACAUUGUUAGUAUUGGCAAGAAGAUAUGGUAUCAUUAUUCCUUGGAGGGAGUUUUUUUUGGCUGUUUGUGUUCCCUUGUGGUGCACCUUCAGUCCCCACCCACACCUGCUGCCGUGUCUGCUCUGAAGGAUGGAAAGAUUGAUUUUAUCUAAUUUUACCACCCACUCUGAAGCUGUUGGUUCAUAACCUCUGCUGAGACUCUUCAUGUCAGGUGUUGUGAAUGGCAAAGCUGCCUAAAAGCCAGCUUCUUCAAUGUUGAAUCCCUUCUAUAUAGAAAAUCCCUUACAGAAAACCAAACAGAUUACCCUCUGAAUUUACUAUACGUACAGUGAUGGCCUAUAUGGUUUAUUAAAUUUUCCUCUUUUUCUGUCCCCACACACAUUUGCACAUGCAUGCACACUCACAUACACACUUACAAUUUAAGGACUAGCAGAACAAUUCAAUGUUAUAAUUCUUACCCCUUCUCUGAGCUGUGAAAUUGUUAACAACACUGACAAAUCAAUAUCCCAGGCAUCUGACUGGGAACCCACUGAAGCUGAAACUCAAAAACUAUAGUUCCAGAUGCUUUGCAAACUCCAACUACUUCUGCAUCAGGCUUCCACAUUUCCUAUUUUGAGGUCAUUCCAAAACUAUGACAUAGUGAGACUUUGCUUUUUAGAAAAGAAAAUAAUACAAGAGCUUUGUGAAAAAAAUAUUCUUUGCUUCAAAUAAAAAAAUCAGAGGCUGGAGAAUGUCUAUAAGUUUUAUCAGGAUCCAGGUCCUGUUCUGUUUCCUUUGAGAAAUAGUUAUCCUGUUUUAUUCCCUAGAGAAAUACUCCAUACUAAGCAAAAAUAACGUUUCAGCCUGGUAGGAGCUGUGUGUGUACAUUUGUGCAGCCUGCAGAGAUUCACAACUACAGCAGCCGUGCUCCCUGUGCCUUGGCUUGUAAGACCCCAGAGUAGGCUGCCUCGGGGUCCCUGCUGCUACCCUACUGGUAGCACCACAAGAAUCCCCUCCCUGUCAGUUGUUGGGAGCUGCCAGACCUAAAUAAUCCUAAAACUGAAAGACAUGGUAACUGAAAAAAGUUCUCAAGAGCUAUAUGAUAUGAGGACUACUCAGGCUUGCCUUUCCCAAGCUGAAAUUGGUCAGUACUAGACAAGUUUGUCGGAAGUGUCACAGGAUGUUUAAAGGGCAAGUAUUAGUCACAGUGGUGCAGAGCAGUGUGGUGAGACUAAUAUGAAGCUUGAUUCAUAACCCAGAUUACCAGAGGAUACUUUUCGAUGAGAAGGUAAAAGGGGCAGCUCUAACAUAAAAGAGUACGCAACAUUUAACAACUGUUCCUCCCCUGCAAAGGAAUUAAUUUGUGGUAUAUGAAACUAAAUUAAGAUGACAGUGCCCAUCAUCAUGUGAAAUAACAUGUGACUCAUUUUUGGCAGUUAUCUCCAUCAUAGACAGUGUCCUCAUACAGAUGUUCUCUGCUUUGUGGGAAUCUUACAGCACGUGAAGCCAGGAAAGAUGAAUAAAAGGCUCUACACCAUGAUUUGCUUUGCAGAGGAAGACUUCAUGCUAAAACUGCCAGCCUGAAUGAGAGAUGAAAUAUAAAAAUGUCUUGUUUUAAAGCUCUAGUGUGAAAAAUGCAGCAGCUUUCACCAGUUCUCCAAUGAAUGGUGACAUUUGACUGGCUUCUCACUGUGAAGGAAAAUGUAACACAACUGUGCUGGCGUCUUAAAGGUCAACUGUUCCUCUCUGACAUUCCCUUCUUUAGUAAGAAAGCUGGCAUCACUGCAUGUGGGAGCAGUUAGGAUCUUCUCGGGGUCUGCCCAUAAACAGCGCUCAGUAUUGUGCCCAGCUGCAUGAGUCCAUUAAUAUGGCCCUCUCAAAUGCCCAUCAUUUUCAUUGAAAGACCAUUUAAAGAUCAAGUACACUUUCAUCCCAUAUAUAACUGCAUGCCCUCUUGUUGUUAGUGUGGAAAUUUCUUUGCAUCAGAAAUAUACUGAAGCUGCAAGAAGAGCUCACAGGACCAUAGAAAUGUUGGUUGCAAAGGGCUCUACUCUGACCUUGCACUUGAAGCAGGAAUAUCAUCAGUGUUGGGUCACAUCAAACAUAGCUUUGUACAGCCACAUCUUGAAAACCUUCAAGGCUGGAGGUGGUACUGUGUCUCUGGGUCCUUAUUCCAGUGUUGCACUACCCUCCCAAGUAAGAAGCUCUUUAUGCCAGAGGUUCAAAGUCUCAUAGGAACAGAAGUUUCCUGUGUUACACAUCUGGAGGCCCACUCAUCUGACUGGUAUGAGUUGGUGUUGUCUUUCAACAGUGUAAAUGACAAACCUGGUAUGAGCUUAGAUGGUGAAUUUAAAACCUGCAAGGAUUUGUAGCAAACAAAUCAGCUGUACAAUGACGUCGUUAAACCAUAGUGAGAACUUCUGUUUGCUUUUCAUUGCAUAAAUAGGUGGGAGUCCUUGAAAGGGAGCAUUGACUGACUCAAGAAGUCACUUCACCCAGCGUGGAAAGCUCAGGGCUGUUCCAGUUUCUGCUGCAGGGGAGAGAGAGGCAUAUAACUCACUGCCUCUUCUUCAGGCCUUUCACUGGGCCACUGUUUCUCUGUAGAACAGAUAGAUGGUUCUUCAAACAGGUAUCCAACUAGGGUCCUGAAUCUAACCUCCUUCAAUGGCUUAAUUAGUUACCAUGUAUCAGCAAAACUAAUGUCAUCAGUAUGCAUGGGUAUAUGUGUGAUCUUGUCGUCUUCAGCUGUGAAGUGAUGUGACCGAGGUGUAGCUGGGGCUGGAUGUCAUUACUUGCCAUGGGGAUGGGCUAGGGGCAUGCUGUGGUCUCACAGCUCUCCUACUGUGCAGUGUUGUGGGGAGAUGCUGGUAGCUAUGCUGGUGGAUUUACAGAAGGGCAUUUCAUUUCUUGUCUGAGAUCAUUGUGAAAUGUUGCUUGCACUCUUAAGUAGCUGAAAGGCAAGAGAGCUGCACUUCAGUAGUAAGUGAAAGCAUCUCUUUGUGCAGCUAAUCUUGCAAAGCACUGUUAAGUUUGUCACGAUUCAUAACCACUGCCUAAUACAGACCCAUCACUUGGCAUGGUCCUUAGGUAUUUAAAUUCAAAAAUUUCUAUUAAUACUUCACCUGGUCUGGGGGAAAAAAAAACAAACAAGGAAAUUGCAAUAAGAAAUCUAAUAUUACAAGAAAUAUGAAUCCUCCCUGUCUGGCAUGCAAAAAUCUUAGGAAACUUUAUUUAUUGCUUGCUUGCAUCUAUACAGUUGCUUUUGCUUCUCCAUUAGCGGAAAAAGUACCAAACUGCUUUCCCUGCCUGGGGCUGCCUUUAGGGUGUUUGCUGCACCUCUCUACAUGAGAAGUGAUGCAAAAUUCCUCUUCUCCUGCAAUGUCAGACUUGGGUAUUUGCAGGCGUAUUAUCUGCAUGUCUUACUGUUAGUAAAAAGCAGCGAGGCCUGUGAUCAUUUGGCCACUGUAGAAUUCAAACCUUUCCAUUUUCCCCGUAGUUCAUGCUUUAACGCUCCGUUGAUGGGCUGUGUGCGCUUCUGGAGCUGUCUGUGCAAUUCCUGUUGACUUUAAUAAAAACUAUAUGGAGUAACUGAGACAGAAGUAAUUUUAUGAUAUUAUUCUACUUUCUGCUCCAUAUUGCUGUAUUCUCUAGCAUCUGUUCAAUAAACUUCUUUUUCCCCACUGGAGAAUCUCUUCAAUCCACAGCGGACUGAUGACUGCAAGCCAACUAACU